rnacentral:lncRNA from 1 species
AAGAAAUGUGAAACGCUUAUUUUAUCCUAUGAGAAAAGCCAAUAAAAGGAAAGAAUCACCCAAGGCAUUUUUUUUUUAUUAUUCAAAAUUGGCAGGAAAUUUUGUUUAUAAAACUAUGGAAACCAACUUGAAAUUUACAUACAAGGAUUUCAAAACUUGUUUUGCUAAUGCAGUGUCACUCAAGAAUUCACUGAACCUCACAAGGUUCUUGAAAGCUUGAACUGCAGUGGAGGGUAUUAUACUGAGUGAAAUGAGAAGGAGGAAAAAGAACUCUAGAUGCACAGCUUGGAACAGCCUCUGUUUCCUCUUGUUUCCCAAGACAGUCCUAACUUCAAAUGAGUCCUCCUGCCCUGGUAAGAUCCUGUUUAUCAGAUUUUAUGUCCUGAUGCACUUGAUUUGGGAAAUAUGGUAAAUGUAGCAAAAAUGCACAAAAUGAAGAGGACCUAUGAUGCACUGCUGCGCUGUGGUGCAAGGUUUAUGAUAAGGAGCAAUAAGAAAUAACAUUAGAAACUAGGCCUGUAAGGACUUACUAUAGAAGGCUUUAUAUGCAAUAGUAAGAAGUUUGGACUUUGUGCUCCAGGCAGAGAAGACAUCAAAUUUUUCAAAAAAAUAUUUAUGAUCAUUUUUUUAUAAUAAAUUUAUUUUUUAUUGGUGUUCA